GACGAAGGGGGCUAGCGUUGUUCGGAAUUACUGGGCGUAAAGCGCGUGUAGGCGGUUAUCCAAGUCGGGUGUGAAAGCCUUGAGCUCAACUCAAGAAAUGCACUCGGUACUGGGUGACUAGAGGACCGGAGAGGAUAGUGGAAUUCCCAGUGUAGUGGUGAAAUACGUAGAGAUUGGGAAGAACACCAGUGGCGAAGGCGGCUAUCUGGACGGUUUCUGACGCUAAGACGCGAAAGCGUGGGGAGCGAACAGGA
rnacentral:rRNA from 1 species